AUAGCUUUAUCGACCUUUUGACUAAGAUAAAGUGUAAUAUUUAUUUUUAUCAGUUUAAUAUUAGAUAUGUGAACUAUAUGUUCACUUUGAUAUUAAAUUUAUUUUUUAUGGGUAUCAAAUAUGAUUGUGUCGUUGCAGCGCACGACAU
rnacentral:snRNA from 1 species